rnacentral:lncRNA from 1 species
UUUAAACAUUAGUGAUGCUUUUGAGUAUACUAUGAAACUAGCUGGAAAAAAAAUUGACACCCAUUAGAGUCUAAGUGUUGAAAACCUUUUUCUUUUUAUAGAAACUACAUUCUUAUAUUAGAAAUAGAUGACACCAUUUUCCAGUUUGAAAUUAGAAGCCAGUAUACCUCCAGACAUUUCUCUAUGGAUAAACUGAAAGGAUAUGGAGCUCCUUACUCUAAACUGCUUUUUAAAGGAUUUGCACUGGAACAGAACUGCAUAGGGAGGAAGGCC